rnacentral:rRNA from 1 species
GACGAACGCUGGCGGCGUGCUUAACACAUGCAAGUCGAACGGUAAGGCCCUUCGGGGUACACGAGUGGCGAACGGGUGAGUAACACGUGGGUGAUCUGCCCUGCACUUCGGGAUAAGCCUGGGAAACUGGGUCUAAUACCGGAUAGGACUCCUGGCUUCAUGGUUGGGGGUGGAAAGCUUUUGCGGUGUGGGAUGGGCCCGCGGCCUAUCAGCUUGUUGGUGGGGUAAUGGCCUACCAAGGCGACGACGCGUAGCCGGCCUGAGAGGGUGACCGGUCACACUGGGACUGCGAUACGGCCCAGACUCCUACGGGAGGCAGCAGUGGGGAAUAUUGCACAAUGGGCGCAAGCCUGAUGCAGCGACGCCGCGUGAGGGAUGACGGCCUUCGGGUUGUAAACCUCUUUCAGCUAUGACGAAGCGCAAGUGACGGUAGUAGCAGAAGAAGGACCGGCCAACUACGUGCCAGCCGCCGCGGUAA